CGCACGAGAAAUCUCUGGCUUGCCAGAGUGAGUAAAGUGGCGCACGGGUGAGUAACGCGUGGGUAAUCUGCCUUCAAGUUAGGGAUAACAUUGCGAAAGCGGUGCUAAUACCUGAUAAGCUCACAGUUUAAUACGGCUGUGGGAAAAGGUGGCCUCUGACAUAAGCUAUUGCUUGAAGAUGAGCCCGCGUACCAUUAGCUUGUUGGUAGGGUAACGGCCUACCAAGGCGACGAUGGCUAGCUGGCCUGAGAGGGUGGCCAGCCACACUGGAACUGAGACACGGUCCAGACUCCUACGGGAGGCAGCAGUGGGGAAUAUUGCGCAAUGGGGGAAACCCUGACGCAGCGACGCCGUGUGAGUGAUGAAGGCCCUCGGGUCGUAAAGCUCUGUCAGAUGGGAAGAAUAAGAGCAAGGUUAAUAUCCUUGCUUGAUGACGGUACCGUCAGAGGAAGCACCGGCUAACUCCGUGCCAGCAGCCGCGGUAAUACGGAGGGUGCGAGCGUUGUUCGGAAUUACUGGGCGUAAAGCGCGUGUAGGCGGACAUGUAGGUCAGAUGUGAAAGCCCUCGGCUCAACUGAGGAAGUGCAUCUGAAACCACACGCCUUGAGUACGAGAGAGGAAAGUGGAAUUCCCAGUGUAGAGGUGAAAUUCAUAGAUAUUGGGAAGAACACCGGUGGCGAAGGCGGCUUUCUGGCUCGAUACUGACGCUGAGACGCGAAAGCGUGGGGAGCAAACAGGAUUAGAUACCCUGGUAGUCCACGCCGUAAACGAUGUGCACUAGGUGUUGGGAGUAAUUAAACUCUCAGUGCCGCAGCUAACGCAUUAAGUGCACCGCCUGGGG
rnacentral:rRNA from 1 species